CCUACGGGAGGCAGCAGUGAGGAAUAUUGGACAAUGGGCGCAAGCCUGAUCCAGCCAUGCCGCGUGCAGGAAGACGCAUCUAUGGUGUGUAAACUGCUUUUGUACAGGAAGAAACACUACCUCGUGAGGUAGCUUGACGGUACUGUAAGAAUAAGGAUCGGCUAACUCCGUGCCAGCAGCCGCGGUAAUACGGAGGAUCCAAGCGUUAUCCGGAAUCAUUGGGUUUAAAGGGUCCGUAGGCGGUUUAAUAAGUCAGUGGUGAAAUCUGGUCGCUCAACGAUCAAACGGCCAUUGAUACUGUUAGACUUGAAUUACUUGGAAGUAACUAGAAUAUGUAGUGUAGCGGUGAAAUGCUUAGAUAUUACAUGGAAUACCAAUUGCGAAGGCAGGUUACUACGAGUGUAUUGACGCUGAUGGACGAAAGCGUGGGGAGCGAACAGGAUUAGAUACCCUGGUAGUCCACGCCGUAAACGAUGGAUACUAGCUGUUCGGAGCAAUCUGAGUGGCUAAGCGAAAGUGAUAAGUAUCCCACCUGGGGAGUACGUUCGCAAGAAUUGAAACUUAAAGGAAUUGACGGGCUUGAGAGNGCGAGACGACGACGAGGAGGAGG
rnacentral:rRNA from 1 species